UAAUUAAUAAUCACAGCAUCGUGAAGGCCCGCAGAGGGUGUUGAUGCGUUGUGAUUUCUGCCCAGUGCUCUGAAUGUCAAAGUGAAGAAAUUCAAUGAAGCGUGGGUAAAUGGCGGGAGAAACAAUGACUAUGACUUGCUUAAGGUAGCCAAAUGCCUUGUCAUCUAAUUAGUGACGCGCAUGAAUGGAGGAA
rnacentral:ncRNA from 1 species